GACCGAACCGACUAAUGUUGAAAAAUUAGCGGAUGACUUGUGGCUGGGGGUGAAAGGCCAAUCAAACCGGGAGAUAGCUGGUUCUCCCCGAAAGCUAUUUAGGUAGCGCCUCGUGAACUCAUCUUCGGGGGUAGAGCACUGUUUCGACUAGGGGGUCAUCCCGACUUACCAACUCGAUGCAAACUACGAAUACCGAAGAAUGUUAUCACGGGAGACACACGGCGGGUGCUAACGUUCGU
rnacentral:rRNA from 1 species